AGGGCCAAAGCUCAGGGGUGGAGCAUUGGCUUUGCAUGAGAAAGGCUCCAGGUUCAAUCCCCGGUGACCCCA